AAUAAAAAAGAGAGAGAGAAAGGAAGGAGAGAGAAGGGGAAAAGAAGGAAGAAAUGGGGAAGAAGAGGAUCGUUGUGCAUCGCCGAGGUCAGAUCUCUUGAAUCCAACACCAGAUUAGCGAUCGUUAUCUCGAGAUCUAUAUUUUGAGGCAAAUAUGAAGCUACCAGUCGAUGCGUGGCCUAAGACAAUGAUAUCGGUAGCGAUCGAGUGCCUUGAAUUUGGAACGGAUGUGGCGAAAAUGCUCGUUGAAGACAACGACUCCGGCCACUCCAAGAUGUUGCAGAAAACCUGCCUUUGGUCGUCAUAACCAAAGUAAAAGCAAGAGCUCUCAUAGAUUUGGACCGGACUCUGCUAAUAGCAGUAAGGAUCACAUCUAUGAGUUGGGUUAAGCUUAACGUAUCGGUAGAUGCAGUACCAUUUGGAC